GGCAAAAAUCUUAGAGAAUAGGCCGUUGGUGCGGCCCUAGUCGGUGAGAUGAUAGUCAUUUGCAUAUGUCGUGGUAUGGUGGAGUUCUCCCUACUCUUUGAUAAUUUGUGGGGUCUCUUCGAUUGGAUGCGAGAGAUAUCAGUAGGCGUCACUGCUCCAAUCAUGCGGUCAUGAUCGAGGCAAACUGUGAAGUUUCAACCAUUCCAACAUCGAGCUGCUAAUGUUCCAACC
rnacentral:lncRNA from 1 species